rnacentral:lncRNA from 1 species
AUUUAUCUACUGCUCGUGAAAUCUCUGGAUUUAACUCUGAUGAAAGACUGGAGGCUGAAGGAGAACUUCAAUAUCAUAUAUUUUAAAGGUUGAUUCACAGUUUGGAGCAAGAAUUAAAGAACCACGAACUUCAAGUCUGGAUAAAGUGCUUCAUGCCUGUAAUCCAAGCACUUUGAGAGGCUGAGGCGGGUGGAUGGCUUGAGCCCAGGAGUUUGAGACCAGCAUGGAAAACAUAGAGAAACCCCAUCUCAAUAUAAGAAGAAGAAGAAAAAGAAAAAAAAAAUCAAAAACGAAAACAACACAAAUUUUAGAGUGAUGUAAAAUUCUCAAACAAUGAGAUAGAUAAAAAGUACGCAGCCAAAAAGUUCAAGAAGAAGUGUUAUGGAGAUGGAGCAGGCCCUUCGUAAAAACACGAUGUUGGUUUUCUGGAUUUUGGAGGCCUCACAAAACCCGGAUCAGACUCGCCCACUGCCCUGUGUCUGCCCUCCCGACCGCCUCUCCUGCCCAGCAGGGAUGAGGGUGGCAGUGGUGCUGUGUGGAGGGUGGCGGGAGGACCUGGAAGACUGCGACCAGUGAGCCGGGAGGCCUUGGGACAGCCUCUCUCUGAAUCAUCCUGUGCACUGCCGGGUGUGACAGAGGCUCCUAGAAUCCUGUCUCAAGUGGCCGCCUUCACAGAGGGAGUCACUGACGUCCCUGCUCAGCGCAGCCCUGGCAUGUGGGGGUCCCUCUACUCAUGAGAAACCCCCA